UCCCGCCACUGCCACGGAGCCCGCGAAUCCCUCUUGCCACCGACCCCACUGGCUGCCGCCGCGGAUCCCGCUACUCCCUCCCGCCGCCCCGAGAUCCCUCGGCAACAGCGCCGCCGUCACGAGUUGCCUCGGCAACGACGGACACCGCCUCGAGUUUCCUCGCCAACGACGGUCGUCGUCCAAGUUUCCUCUCCCUCCUCCGUGCCGAAUCGAGCCAAGAUGGCUGCAUCGGUGGUGGUCCUUCCCGGGUCAACACUGCGCACGCGCAGCUGCUAGCGAGCCCCCGGGCAUGCCUUUGCUUGCCAACGAGCGACGACACACGUCGUUCCAGUGCGGCUCCACCUGGUCCUUCCCAUGUCAACGUCAUGCUGCUCCUCAGGCAUUCCCGGCCUAGCCCCUCUGGCCGCCGAGCUCAUUCCAGCCAUCUCCGGUGUGUGUGCGUGCUCUUAUGGGCUUGCCUAGCGAGUGUCGUGUCCGGCGUGUGCGGUUGGCCGGCGUGCGUGCAUGUGCGCCUGGCGUCCAUGGUCUGUGUGCGUGAUCUGUGUGUGUGUCCUGCGUAUGCUACAUGUGUUGCCAGUGUGUGCUUGCGUGUGUGCCUGCUGGCUGCCAAGGCUCCCUGCUAGAAUGUGGUAAUAUUUGUUGGUGUGGUCAUCCUUUAUGUGUUCGAGCGGCCACCUUUGCAACUGUCUAAUAUGUCAGUGGGGAAUUUAUUAUCAUACGUCUAAUACAUCAUAUUCAUUUAACUACACUGCCUUUACCAUCAAACUUGUGUGAUUUCAGGUCAAAAUCUAUGAAAAUUGACCAUCUGCGACAAAAAGAGCUCUUAAUCGAGCCAUUUACUGUUAAAAUAGUAUAAUCAGCACUUAAACCCUACCUAAAAAGCAACAGAGGGCGUUCUGGUUAUUUCAACACGUUUCAGCAACAGCCGCAGCUGCUACAGCAUAACUACCAAACGACUGCACUUCAGCUCCAACCUUCCAGCCGCAGCUAGCAGCUAAAGACUUCAUGCAGCUAUGUGGUACAACUCCCAUCCUCUGAAAGCAUUGAAGAGAUCAUUCUCACUCCUCCGCUAGCACCUGAAGCCCCACUGAGAUUCAGCAAGCGUAACAUCUCUGGAAUGCAGGACAAGGCCAAGAAAAUGGCUAGUAAGAAAAAUCUGGAAGGGCUACAACAAGGAGAGGACGCCAAGGAGCUUCGCGCUGGAGCUGAGAUGAUCAGGACUGGCACAAUGCAGUUGAUGAAGAUGUGUGGUGCUGUCAAGCAACCAAUCCAAGGUGCCUGAUGUUCUCUGGAGAUGCGCUGGAUGAAGAGAUGACAGGCGCGCGAUUUCGAUACUGCUUCCCCCCGGAGAAGAUUGUUUUCUGUCUUCUUGGAAUGCAACUGUGUUUUGAUACUUGAUCCGAUCUUUUGAGGAUGUAAUAGGAUAGAUGUAAUGUCGUGCUAUCCAGGUUUUCGCCCCAUGAUAUUCGUUUCGACGGCGAGCGAGUAUGGUGGGUUUCCUGGUA